AGGUUCCGAAGCGUUGGAAGACACAAAGAAAGGUGUUAGAAUAUUUUCUCAUCCUUGCCGUGGGUUCGGGCUUAAUUUCUCUUGGUUUUGGGCUUUUUAGAAGCCCUAUCCACAUUCCCACUAACCAGCCGCACCUUUCCCCUUCUAGAACACAUAUUUCCUUGCCUUGCAAGGCUUUCUAGAAGCCCUAACCCUAGCCCACUUAAUUGCCGCACCCUAGGCCCUUUUCUCACCUAAUUUCUGAUUGUUUAACCUAUUUUUCUGGUGGAUUUGGGUUUCUAGAAGCCCUAAUCUGAUUUGCUAGGGUUUUUAAGUGCCUAUAUAUAUGUUUCUACACCUAGCCGCACACAUCACUUCUCCACAAUUUAGAAAUUCAUCCAACCUUAUUUCCCCACCUUGCCGCAGCCAUCAUCACACAAAAACCUCUAAGCCGCCACUUCUCCAUCAAACCAGCCACUUCCCACUCCUUGCCGCAACCAUUCUACACUUCCAGCCACCAUUCUACACCUCCAUACACCACCCAUACCCCUUGCCGCACCACCAUACCAUCCUAACUCCCUUCCUAAACCAAAAUCACAUCCAAAAAUCCCCUAAACCCUCUCUGCCGCAGCAAGGAGAAGAAGAAAAUAGGAGCUUGACGUGCAGAAAUUCAAAGUGGAAUUGUUGGGCGUUUUAGGUGUAAUCUUUCUUAUGUCUUCGAUAUUUCAAUUCAAUAAACUUUGUGUUGUGAGUAUGAGGAACUAAACCCCCUUAGUUGGGGGGUAAUUCGAAACCAUGUACAUGCUUGCAAUAUGAUUUGAUUACAUUCAGUUGUUAUUUCAUAACUUGUGGAUUCAAUUCGUUCAUCUAUUUGAUUGAUAACUUAUUUGUGUAUGUUGAUUGAGAGUGCACGCUUAGUUUUCAUGCAUGAAUAUGAUGCUAGAUUAUGAGGGAGUUUCACCUAAUAGUUACAAUCUUAUAAUCACAAGUAGUGAAGGUCGCUUGAAAACGAUCGCGUUGAAUGAAUGCUUAGCAUAAGUUUCAUGCAAUUCAUAGUAACAAAUGCUUCGUCAAUGCUUAUGUUUUUCAUAGAACGUAAUGAUUCUUGCUUGUAUCUCUAUUAUGCAAUUCAUGUAGGGAACUUGUAGGGAAUGUUUUAGGUUGUCGUAUGCAAUCAUCCAACUUAAUAACUUGUGGAAAAACUGAGGGUUAACUAGUGCAAUUCACGGUUAAUUUGGGGCGUUGAGUAUUCAUAAUUCAUUGGAAGAACAACUGAUAAUCGUUUUGUUUGCAAGUGUGACAUGUGUGGAGAAGAACCUCCUAACUAGCCUUUUAUCCAUCCUUUUCAUCCAAAAACAUUUUACAAUCUGUUUAGUUUUAAGUUCCUGUUUUGUUUUCAAUUUUCGUCCAAAACCAAUCCCCAUUUGUUUUGAAAUCUUAGAUUAAUUAGAAAGUGUUUUGAUUUGUGUUUUUAAGUGUUUUGAUUCAAGUUUUCACUCAAAUUCGUCCAAGUUUUUGUUAGGUUCUCAAAACUGCCCAGAAAGUGGUUUUUAGGCAGUUUUGAGUCAUUAGGUUGCUGUUUUGAGUUUUAGGUUUGUUUAAGUGUUUUAAAGUUUAGUUUUGCAUUCUUUGAGUCUAGCUUAGUGUUUUAAACCUUGUUUUAGAGUUUUUAAGUCAGUUUCCAAGUGUUUAGCGAUCCCUCCUAAUCCCCGGUCUAGAACGAUCCCUACUUACAUCUUUGCUACAAUUUGACAAAAAGAGGGUUUAAUUUGUGUGCUUAUCUUUUUCGCAUCAACCGUCGAGAUUAACUUCCCU
rnacentral:lncRNA from 1 species